rnacentral:rRNA from 1 species
GACGAACGCUGGCGGCGUGGAUUAGGCAUGCAAGUCGAACGGUAUCAUCCUUUCGGGGGUGAGAGAGUGGCGAACUGGUGAGUAACACGUAGGUUAUCUACCCUCAAGACGGGGACAACCCAGGGAAACUUGGGCUAAUACCGGAUGUGAGCAACUUUUAGUUGUUUGAAAGGUGGCGUAAGCUGUCGCUUGGGGAUGAGCCUGCGUCCUAUUAGUUAGUUGGUGAGGUAACGGCUCACCUAGGCAAUGAUAGGUAGGCGGCCUUAACGGGUGGUCGCCCACACUGGGAUUGAGAUACGGCCCAGACUCCUACGGGAGGCAGCAGUCGAGAAUAGUCUACAAUGGUCGGAAGACUGAUAGUGCGACGCCGCGUGAACGAUGAAUCCCUUCGGGGUGUAAAGUUCUUUUAUAUGUGAGCAGUGCUUCUUAUAUUAACAGUAUGGGGAAGAGAUAUUAGCAUAUGAAUAAGCAACGGCUAACUCCGUGCCAGCAGCCGCGGUAAACUAC